AUAUUAAGUUGUUGCAGUUAAAAAGCUCGUAGUUGGAUAUCUGGAGUGGUCUGUCGUUUACUCUGUAGGCGGCCGACCAUAUCCAUCCUUCUGUUAACGUGUUCUGGUAUCCGUAUUGGACAUGGGCUCAGAUAUUUUACCUUGAGAAAAUUAAGUGUUUCAGCAGGCAAGGCCGGAAUACAAAAGCAUGGAAUAAUGGAAUUGACACAACUCUGUGGUUGGCCAGAGAAGUGUAAUGAUUAAUAGGAACAGUUGGGGGCAUUAGUAUUUAAUUGUCAGAGGUGAAAUUCUUGGAUUUGUUAAAGACUAACUAAAGCCGAAAGCAUUUUGCCAAGGAUGUUUUCAUUAAUCAAGAACGAAAGUUAGGGGAUCAAAGACGAUCAGAUACCGUCGUAGUCUUAACCCAUAAACGAUGCCGACUAAGAUUGGAGGAGAUAAUUGAGCUCCUUCAGCAUCUAAGGAGAAAUCAAAGUCUUUGG
rnacentral:rRNA from 1 species